UGACUUCAGAUUCAAUGUGUAGCUGGGUCUGAUCUUGAAUUGUGCUUCUGUCUUAAAUCUUGAAUCUUAAAUUGUGUUCUUGGUUGAAUCUUUAAUUGUACAAAACUGAAUUUCGUGACGCUGUACAUUGAAAUCAUUUCAGAGUAAUUCCCUUUCUCGGCAGGUUGAGCUCACAGAGAACUAAUACCACUGCCAAAGAGGAGAGAAAAAUUCAGAUCCAAUUGCAACUUUCACACACGAUCUAGUAAAGCUUAGGAGCUUAUGUGGUAGCAGUGCUUCGGAUGAGAAGGACCUCACAUUUCCUACCGGCUCGAGCUCAUAGUGAUGCAGUUCAGGGAGUCCCUCAUAUUCUCUUUUGAUAUUUUGACUGUGAGAACACAAUCUCAUUUUCAGUUGGGGGUGCCUCCCUUGUGGUCGUUUUGUUGAUUGUUUCUGCAUACAGUGAUUGUGCCCUUAUCGAGCAUACUUUUCUUUCUUUGUUAUGGAUUGGUGUGCCCUUCUCGGGAUUUGAUAUUGUGGAUGUUUCUGUUGAUAUUGUGUUGGAUUGGUCUAUUUUAGUUUUUGAUUUGUAGUUUGUAGCUUCUUGGUUUUUGUUUUGAUAAUAAGAUUUGGAUUGACGAUGCCCGAUGAUGGAUAGAGAGUGAUGACUUUCUUAAGGGUAAAUCGCCGAUUGCUUGUGAGUGUUUGAUUGGCAUUAAUUGUGGCGAAGUCUGAGUAGUUGUUCCUGAAUAGAUGCAUGAGGUUGCCUGAUGAUGGAUUGGUUGACAACUUUCUUCGGGGCAAAAUCGUCGUCUUUUUGGGAAGGUUUUGACUUGGUUGGUACUAAGAGCAUAGUCAUGCAUGUGAAUAGUGUUGAGCAUACCUCUCCAUUUUUAAAAGGUUGAGCAUGUCAUGAAUGAUUUUUUGACAACUCUUGCAACUCUUUUUGUGAAUUUUGAUUCGUUAACGGUUAAAAUGUUAAAUGCUACUUGUAUUUUGAAAAGGAAGUAAGAGUUUGAACCAUCUUGAUUGAUUUGCAGGCCAUGUGUGGUGAGUUGUUGAAUAAUGCCUUGUGUUUGCUUUGGUCACCUAGAACUUGCCCGGUUGGUCUUGAUUGAGCUUGGUUGGAGAAAUGAUCUUAGGCUUUCUUUGAUGUUCUUGAAGUCCACUUGGCCUAAAAAUCCCACCUUUCUCCUAAAUAUAUCCUUAGUUGUCCCCUUUGAACCCGAUCCUUUUUUUGGCAACCACAUUACAAGCCUUAUUCUUUUUGAAAAAGUAACCCUCUUUUGAACCCUUCCCUCCUUGAACUUGAGGUUCUGAAAGUUGAGACUAAAAGCCUAAGUUGGGGUGUUAUGGGAAAUUCAUUGAAUAUAAAAGAAAAAAAAAAGAAAAAAAAGAAGAAGAGAGAAAUGGAAGGAUGGAUGAAAAGUCUUAAAGAAAGAAAAAACUUUGAAAAGGAAAGAAAUAAAAUGAAUAAAUGAGGCUUGAAUUCUCCAAAAGUUGAAAAUGGUUGCAUGUGGGGCAUCUAGAGUGGAAGUAAGAAAAGAAAAAUGAAAAGUAGUGUGGAAUGUGCAUGGGUUUGAAAAGUGGAGAAAGUUGGAAAUGAUGAGUUGUUGUGUAGUGUUCAAGGAGGGUGUAGUCACUUAUACCUAAAUGAUAUCCUAACCUUCUCUAAGCCUACAUUACAAGCUUAACAAAGUCCUUUGAGAUUUCUAAGCAAAUAAAGUUGGGUCAAUGUUGAUUGAAAAUAUGGGCAAGCCUAUGGUGUGACAUUUGUGUGCAUGAGAUGAUUCUUCGUGAGUGUGAGUUUUGCAUCUUUGUCUCUUGUCUUGUUUAUAUGUGUGUGGUUUUGGGACACUUCUUUCUUGUGAGGGCAUGUAAGUUGAAAAAGUGGUGAUUUUUAAAAUUCCUAAUUGAGUCAAGUGAGCAUGUGAAAGUGUUAAUGAGUUGAGUCAUUUCUUGAGUUUGAGUUGUUGUCACUUGAAUGAUUCUUGGUUUUUGAAAAUGUUUCAUGAGAAUGAGAGGAUUUCUUUUGUGAAGAUUUUGCAUGUGGACUAUUUGUUAGUACCAACCUAAGCCAUUACCUUUGUGCUUCAUCGAGAAAGGGAAAUUGAUUUGUGGUGUGUUUUCAAAUAAGAGCCUUUGUGUUUUUGAUUUUCCUUACUUGAGAACAAACAAAGUUUCUAAGUCGGGGGUGUUGAUGAGUGGUGGAUUCCCACUCAUUUGAGGCUCUUUUCGUAGUUAUUUUGGCUUGCUUUAGUUUAGAAUUGGUGCUUUUAAUGUGGGUUUUUAUCAUAUUUGUAGGAAAAUGAAAUGGAGAGUUGAUUUAGGAGAUAUAUGAAGAAACGAAGUGAACUUGUGGCAAAAAGCGGUCAAGAUUUCUGGCAGGGAAAGUACCCUUCGUGAACGCGCUUGAAGAAACCAAGUGAACUUUAUCUGCCUAUUUGAAUGUCUUCAUUUAGGGGAAGAAGUUUGCUAAACCUGAACUCGAAUCAUGCAUUGAGGAGUUUGAAGAAAAGUUGAAUAAAUUCGACAUUGAGAGGAAGGAACAAGAACUUACUGCCAAAAAUUCUCAAAGCCAUCAACAGAAAGUGGAGAGCUCGGAGAGCAUCAGAGUUACUGUAAAAGAAGUAUAGGAAAUUGGUGAAUCUAAAUUACUAACGGUUGAGCUCACAGAGAAUUAAUAUCACUGCCAAAGAGGAGAGAAGAAUUUAGAUCCAAUUGUAACUUUCACGCACGAUCUAGGGUACCUUGCAAUCAUAUCAGAAUCAUCACCUACUACCCCAACACUAGUAAAAUCCACUUGAAGUGAUUCAUGGAACUCUGCCAAUGCUAGGGCCUCUUUCUCAACUUGCUCCACAUCUGCUACAGCAUUUAUAAAGGGAAAGCUUAGGAGCUUAUGUGGUAGCAGUGCUUGGGAUGAGGAGGACCUCACAUUUCCUACCGGCUCGAGCUGAGAGUGAUGCAGUUCAGGGAGUCCCUCGUAAUCUCUUUUAAUAUUUCGACUGUGAGAACACAAUCUCAUUUUCAGUUGAGGGUGCCUCCCUUGUAGUCAUUUUGUUGAUUGUUUUUGCAUACAAUGAUUGUGCCCUUGUCGGGCAUACUUUUCUUUCUUUGUUAUGGAUUGGUGUGCCCUUGUCGGGAUUUGAUAUUGAGGAUGUUUCUGUUGAUAUUGUGUUGGAUUGGUCUAUUUUAGUUUUUGAUUUGUAGUUUGUAGCAUCUUUGUUUUUGUUUUGUUAAUAAGAUUUGGAUUGACGAUGCCCGAUAAUGGAUAGGGAGUGAUAACUUUCUUAAGUGUAAAUUAUCGAUUGCUUGUGAGUGUUUGAUUGGCGUUGAUUGUUGCAAAUUCUGAGUAGCUGUUCCCGAAUAGAUGCAUGAGGUUGCCUGAUGAUGGAUUGGUUGACGGCUUCCUUAAGG